rnacentral:ribozyme from 13 species
AGAAAGGAAUGGGAGAAAAGGGAGAAAGUAGAAAGGGAAACGAAGAAAUGCUGUUGUUGUUCCUGUCUUUCUUAGUAUUCGCUAAUCCAUAUUUUUUUUUUUGU